rnacentral:rRNA from 1 species
GACGAACGCUGGCGGCGUGCUUAACACAUGCAAGUCGAACGGAAAGGCCCUGCUUUUGUGGGGUGCUCGAGUGGCGAACGGGUGAGUAACAAGUGAGUAACCUGCCCUUGACUUUGGGAUAACUUCAGGAAACUGGGGCUAAUACCGGAUAGGAGCUCCUGCUGCAUGGUGGGGGUUGGAAAGUUUCGGCGGUUGGGGAUGGACUCGCGGCUUAUCGGCUUGUUGGUGGGGUAGUGGCUUACCAAGGCUUUGAGGGGUAGCCGGCCUGAGAGGGUGACCGGCCACAUUGGUACUGAGGUACGGCCCAGACGCCUACGGGAGGCAGCAGCGGGGAAUAUUGCGCAAUGGGCGGAAGCCUGAUGCAGCAACGCCGCGUGCGGGAUGACGGCCUUCGGGUUGUAAACCGCUUUCGCCUGUGACGAAGCGUGAGUGACGGUAAUGGGUAAAGAAGCACCGGCUAACUACGUG